GCAGGAACAACAAUCUCUUGUGGCCCAGCAUAGUGACUCUAGGAGGGAGCUAGCAUCCAUCAGGCAGAGUGGGUACUUGAACCGCUGGUCUCCUACACCCCGGAGGAGUACCCGAAUUACUGGGAUAAAGGUUAUAAGCCAGGUCCUCCCCCGCCGGAUGUUUUGUGUGGCGUGAGGGGGUCUCCGAAUAUGCCGACUGGAUCGAGCCCUGCAGGCGAGACAGAUGUUCUUCCACUCACCUUCCAGGGUCCGUGCGUCGCCUGGAGUGAGGCAGCAGUGCCAAUGCCCACAGGCAGAAGCGUCCACACCUCAGGAACGUUUGCAGUGGAAGUGUCGGCACUGAAUACCCAUCACACUGUUUCCACUGGCCCCGUCCAACCAGAAUCCACCCUCCCAGCCUGUCUAUACAGUCUAGAGCAACAACUUGCAGUAGCCCCUGUUGCAUUCUGGUCUUGGACUCAGAAGGAAGGGAAUCGGAGUUUACGAGAAGAGCCAAGUGCAGAGCUGGUUGCAGCCAUGCAUUCACUGGACAUGGAGAGAAGAAAGACUGGACCAGGUGGUGACAGAUGCCACAAGAGGCUGUUGAGUCCAAGACUUUAGUAAGGUUCAAGGAGGGUUUGGACAUUCCUAUGGAUAACAAGGCCACCCAGAGUUAUAAUAGUUAAGGCCGACAAAGAGUUCUGGAAGAAAUAAAAACAACCGGCUUCUGGUUUAAAACCAACA